rnacentral:rRNA from 1 species
ACCUACGGGGGGCAGCAGUGGGGAAUAUUGCACAAUGGGGGAGACCCUGAUGCAGCGACGCCGCGUGAGUGAAGGAGUAAUUCGUUAUGUAAAGCUCUAUCAGCAGGGAAGAAAAUGACGGUACCUGAGUAAGAAGCCCCGGCUAACUACGUGCCAGCAGCCGCGGUAAUACGGAGGAUGCGAGCGUUAUCCGGAUUUAUUGGGUUUAAAGGGUGCGCAGGCGGAGGUGCAAGUCAGCGGUCAAAUUGCGGGGCUCAACCCCGUACUGCCGUUGAAACUGCAUCCCUUGAGUGCGCG